rnacentral:rRNA from 1 species
UACGGAAGAUGCGAGCGUUAUCCGGAUUUAUUGGGUUUAAAGGGAGCGUAGGCUGGCUGUUAAGUCAGCGGUAAAAUGUCAAGGCCCAACCUUGUCAUGCCGUUGAAACUGGCAGUCUUGAAUACACACAAGGGAGAUGGAAUUCGUUGUGUAGCGGUGAAAUGCUUAGAUAUGACGAAGAACUCCGAUUGCGAAGGCAGUCUCCUGGGGUGCGAUUGACGCUGAGGCUCGAAAGUGCGGGAAUCAAACAGG